AUAGAAGAUAAUGGGGCCACAGCAGAAGCAUUCAUGUUGCAGCCCUUGUGAGAUUCAAGUGAAUCUGUGAAUUCUGCU
rnacentral:ribozyme from 15 species